GAGGGAAGAGGUCUCCGCAUCUCUCGCUGCAACAAGCAGAUGCCGUGGGGACUACAUGGCACAUUGAUGGUUCGAAUCCAUCUUCCCUCCCCA
rnacentral:tRNA from 1 species